UCGAUCAACUAAUUAUCUCGAAAUAUUGUCUUCGGGAUAUCCAAGUUAAACUGUAAGUUCACUUUAUCAUAAGUAAACUUUAAAUCGUAUUAAAGAUUAACAAAUAUGUAAAAACACAUAACAUUCAAUCUAUUACAAUGCUCAAAUUUCAAUAGACACGACGCACUUGUCGUAUUUUCAAAACGAAAGUAGAUUUCGUGACGUGUCUUCGUACGACUUAUCAAAAGGCGUGACAUCAAAUCCUCAUGCUGAGAAAUGAAUCGCCACCAAAUCUUCACAAAGUUCGUCCAAAAUAUUUGCAAAAACUGGACGAAAUGCAACCGUGAGAUCUCCGUAUUCUGAGGGACUCUCAACAACAUGACAUGUACGAAGAGAAAAAUCAAAGGUAAGUAAAGGGAUAUCAAAGGACAGAGCAGAUUAACCACAAGAUCUGGUUGUAACAGAACAGUUUUCAGCAGGAAGAGGUCCUCUUGUUUCAACUUUGUUUAACAAUGAUUGGGGCCUAUCCCUGCGCCUUGCUGACUUCCGCCCCCUGAAUUCGACACGGGAAAGUUUCCCUGAUUUGAGGAUUGGAAGCGACCAUUCUGAUAUUGUCUAUUUUGCCUUGUCAGAGCCUGAUUUCUGUAUAGGAGAAGAGGUACUGGACCGUUGAUACUCAUCACAAGUGAUGUCAUCAUUCAGAUUGCAGGACCUGCACCCAUUCUCCUCAGAAGCUUCAAAUUGGCUGUUAUUAUUUGACAUUUUGACUUUUGUUAUUGGCUAUUGCAACACAAAUUUAUGUGUUUAUUUUUCAAUGUGCUUGUCGUUGUCAAUAGACUU